UGAAUUGCUGUAAAAAUUACAGCAUUAUUUUACAGCCGCGGACUGUUUUUUAAUAAUACAGCAUAUUGCUGUAAACUGCAAUGCAUUCUGGGGUCACGUGUAGGUCUGACUCAAAUUUACAGAAUUUUGCUGUAAAUUUCAAAUCUUCGGAGCCGCAUCGUCAACGGUCGAGGAGAUUAACGUUAAAGACAAGAGGAGUGAUUCACAACUGUGGAGACACUUUGACAAGUGGGCACUGGAUGCUGGGUAUUGAAGGCGAGGUGGUGUGUGAGGGCACUCAGCCCAGUUUCCUGUCCGGCCUUGCCACUCUGUUUGCUGCUUAUUACUAGUUUAAUCUUGAGUAUCAGGAGGAAGCAGUGUGUACCUUGGAGUUCAUUCAAAGGUGCUUUGUGGGCAUAAAUCCAGAGAGAGGACCCAAAGCCAAGGGAAAAGUGCCAUCGAAAUAAAAACAGGACAAGUGAUACAGAAGAAAAUGUGUGGCAGUCAACCCACAUGUUGCCACUCUUCUGUGCAAAUUCCAAUGGAAUUUCUGAAAUUCACACUUUGAAUCCUGGGAUGGAACUUCAUCUGGAGCAUAAUUGUUAUUUGGUUGAUUUUUAUCUGUUUGAUGGAAAGUUUGUAUGACUUCUGCAAGUGCGCGGCUCCUUCCGGUCAGUCAUGCAUCACUUUUUUUUGUAUGACUUGUUUGGCAAUAUUGGUCUAUUCCUUAAUGAUGAUAGCUAUCUGAAAAUGUCUUUGUGGUUUUUAAAGGAUUAGUUCACCCAAAAAUGAAAAUUAAGUCAAUAAUUACUUAUGUCGUUUCACACCCGUAAGAUCUUCGUUCAUCCUCACAACACAUAAUAAGAUGUGGCUCAGUGAAGCGUGCAUUUCUAGCAAGAUCAUUUCUUUUUUUCAAUGCCCAGAAAGCCUCUAAAACAUUUAAAACAAUUCAUGUGACUACAGUUGUUCAACCUAAAUAUUAUAAAGC